CCAUAAAGUUAAUAUUCCUUCGGAAUAGAGCAACAAAGAAUGAGCGAGCGAGAUGUCACUAUCUGCAACCCUGUGUGAUAAAAAGAGAUGUGUGAUGCUAUCAUCGUCACGUCAAUAGAACCAUUUUUGCAAAAGAUUUGACAGGCAGUGACACAUAGAGGCACAAAGCAGAAUUUCAAAUCACAGUUUUUUCUAAAAAUUUCGUAAAAUCCUGUAUAGUUUUGGAAUUUUUUUAUUGUAAUACAAUGGUGACCUGUUCCGUCCUUGAUUGUGAUAUAAACCAGAGAAAUAAUCCCGCAAAAUAUUCAUUUCACAGAUUUCCGACUAACGAAGAUGUAAGAAAAACAUGGCUCAAAUUAAUUAAUCGUCCAAAUUGGAUUCCAACUAAAUAUGCCACUUUAUGUAGCAAACAUUUUGAUAGUAAAUGUUUUCGAAAAAUUGGAGCCAGAAUCACGUUGAAAAAAUGUGCAAUCCCUACAGAGUUUGUUCCGAUGAAAGUAAAGCCUACACGCACAAUGUCGUCGUACGUGAACAGAGAUAUUUUACCAGAGGGAUCUACAUUAUCGUCUAGAUCUCCGCCGCCGACACCACAGCUUCAGCCCAC